rnacentral:rRNA from 1 species
UGGGGAAUUUUGGACAAUGGGCGAAAGCCUGAUCCAGCAAUGCCGCGUGUGUGAAGAAGGCCUUCGGGUUGUAAAGCACUUUUGUCCGGAAAGAAAUCCUUGGCUCUAAUACAGUCGGGGGAUGACGGUACCGGAAGAAUAAGCACCGGCUAACUACGUGCCAGCAGCCGCGGUAAUACGUAGGGUGCAAGCGUUAAUCGGAAUUACUGGGCGUAAAGCGUGCGCAGGCGGUUUGCUAAGACCGAUGUGAAAUCCCCGGGCUCAACCUGGGAACUGCAUUGGUGACUGGCAGGCUAGAGUAUGGCAGAGGGGGGUAGAAUUCCACGUGUAGCGGUGAAAUGCGUAGAGAUGUGGAGGAAUACCGAUGGCGAAGGCAGCCCCCCUGGGCCAAUACUGACGCUCAUGCACGAAAGCGUGGGGAGCAAACAGGAUUAGAUACCCCUGGUAGUCCACGCCCCUAAAACGAUGUCAACUAGUUGUUGGGGAUUCAUUUCCUUAGUAACGUAGCUAACGCGUGAAGUUGACCGCCUGGGGAGUACGGUCGCAAGAUUAAAACUCAAAUGAAUUGACGGGGUCAUAGCUGUUUCCU